GAUUGUCGGAGCUGCCCUCCUCCUCCCAGCAGCUUCGGGCAACGACUGGCAACCCUCCUCCUCCCAGUUGUCAGUCAGAAUCGAAGCCCGGUGCAUCUCCUCAAGCACCGGGCUUUUUCA
rnacentral:sRNA from 2 species